GUAUCUAUAAUACAAAGUUGUAUAACUUUACCUCGAAAAGAUAACGUGUAUUUACACCAUAUAGAC
rnacentral:tRNA from 1 species